UUUUUACUGGGCCCAUGUUCUCCUUCUUGUUGAUCAGCUGAUGAAACUCUUUUUUUUUUUUAUUUUUUUUUAUUUACUUAUUUAUUAUAUGUAAGUACACUGUAGCUGUCUUCAGACACUCCAGAAGAGGGCGUCAGAUCUUGUUACAGAUGGUUGUGAGCCACCAUGUGGUUGCUGGGAUUUGAACUCUGGACCUUCGGAAGAGCAGUCGGGUGCUCCUACCCACUGAGCCAUCUCACCAGCCCCUGAUGAAACUCUUAAAUUACACCUGUAACCAACUCCUCUCUGGACUCCUAUACAUGACUGUCUGACCAACAUAGCUAAUCAAGCAUCUCACAGACCUCCAGACUUUGACUGUACAUGCAAACCAAGUUCCAAGUUGCCCCAACAAACCUUUUUUGCUGGCGUCUUCCUUGUCUCAGAUGCCAGUGGAGUAUCAGGCCCCUGUCUUCCGGUUAUCCUUACCACUCCUGUCUCAGAUACCAGUUGAAGUAACUGUUUAUCAGGCCACUGUCAUUAUCCUUACCCCUCCUGUGUGUGUAUAAUUCAAGACCCAAGGAACCACGAGGCUCUUACUUGCUCUACCGUCAGAGCGGGUCCCGAGCCUGGCUUCUUGCCCUUGUCCCCGACAGUGUCCCCAUCAGCAGCCAGAGUCACCCCAUCCUACCUCUCGGCUUCCAGUCCUGUGCUGAGCUGGCCCAUCACAGCCACGAUCUGUACCCAUUUACUUUCCCCAUUCCCCGGUGGCUUCUCUCCCUCUAGUUUCACAGGACCAGGGGACAGUCCCUGCUGCCAGGUUCUGGUUCUUGCUCCUCCCUUGUUGGGGGUUCCUUCCCAGGCACACAGAGCUGCGUAACCCCACACCACUGCCCUAGUAUGGCUGGUGUGUGGUGACCCCUCCCUCUCUUAGAGCCAUCAUUCCUUGUGUCAAAUGUCAUUGCCAAACAUGAGCUCCAUGACGAAGGGAUUGUGUCCUUGCUGAUACAUCCUCCGGGGAUGAAGUGGUGUUGAAAAAAUGCUAUUGAAUGGGGGGAACUGGUGACGUUCCUCUCAUUGUCUGAGAAGAAAGGAAAGCCCACUGUAAAUAGAAAAGAAACCCCCUUUCCUCACCUGUCACUAGCUCUACUCAGGUGUAACUGACACAAUGGUGUAGUGUAGAACAUGAUGUCUUGAGAUGUGCACCUACAAAAUGGCUGCCACAAUGAAACCCAGACUUUCCUGUGCCCAGACUGGCCUUGUAUUUAUUCCAUAAUCCAGGCGGGUCUCAAACUCUUCCUCUUGUCUCCUAAAUCCUGGGAUUACAAGUACUAUAAUUGACAACUUGUGAGUGUGUGUGUGUGUGUGUGUGUGUGUGUGGUGUAUAUGUGCAUUGCGUGUGAAUAUUUAGAAUCAAAUCUCAGUGGUUUUCAAGCAUCCAACACAUUAGCAUUAAUCACAGGGACGAUGCUGCAGGCGUCACGAUCAUGCAGUCCUGCUGGUCAUGACUGUGUCCUAGAAAUUGUAUCCAGAGCCAGGGACAUUGCUCAGUGAAUAAAGGUACUUUACACAGAAGGUUGACACCUGAGUUUGAACCCUGGGACCUAUGUGAAAUAAAAGGAGAGAAAUGAUCCUGCAACAUUGAGAUCUCUAUACAUUUGUCAUGGCAUAUGUAUGCCCCCUCCACAUCACACACUACACACACAAUAAUAAAUAAAAACUUUUAAAAUUUUGAAAAUUGGGCUGCAUAGAUGGCUCAGACACUAAGAGGAGUUUUGUUUUGUUUUCUGUUUUUGUUGUUGUUGUUGUUUUCGUUUUGUUUUGUUUUCUGGUUUUUUUUGUUGUUUUAGUUUUGUUUUGUUUUGUUUUUUGGUUUUUUGUUUUUGUUUUUGUUUUUGUUUUGAGGCAGGGUUUCUCUGUAUAGCCUUGGCUGUCCUGGAACUCACUCUGUAGACCAGGCUGGUCUUGAACUCGGAAAUCCAUCUGCCUCUGCCUUCCAAGUGCUGGGAUUAAAGGUGUGUGUCACCACUACCCAGCAACAAGAGUAUUGUUUACAAAAGAAUUAUAUUGCUUUCUAUCUAGUUUAUGUCUGAUGGUUGAUUGUGGGGUGGCAGGGCAUCCUAAAUAAUCCUGACCCUGCCACUCUCUGGGAGACUUUGGAAAUCAGGCUUCCCAAGAUGCUGUCUUCCAGUGUGUAAAACUGGAAGGGUCAUAGUAUACGUUUAGAACGGGUGAACAUGGGCUUUGGGAGAUGUUGUGACUAUCUGGGAGGGGGCAGUCUGCUUGGUCCUAAGCUUGUAUCCAACAGUUGCUGCCCUGAAGGGUCGCUGUGUCCCCAUCCAGACUUCUUUCCAUCCUUUGACCUCUCCAGCCUGUCUGACUUCGGUUAUUUCACAAGGAUCUUUGGACUUCUGCGAUUACCUUGAAGCCAAGGCGUCUUCUAGGUGAGGUGCUCUAUAGUCCUGUUAGCAUGAUGUCAUCCUGAGUUCACGAGUUACGAGCCUCCUGCAGCUAACAGUGCCGUUCCUGUUCAACUAGAGUCAGAUUCCUACUCUAAAGUCUAUGUGGAGUGGAUUUGCCCUGAAGGGCAUUCUUUCAGGAUGAGCACAGCAGGGAGUGCAGACCCUUGGCACAGUGAGUGGACUCUACUUCCUUCUCCAAGGCUGAUGUGGGCUGAUCCAGAUGUGGGCGCCUAUACAUUCCCUCGAUUCCUGAAGUGUUACUGAAGACCCAGCAGUGAGGUCUGACAACCCCUGUGCUGUCCUAGGGAAGUCCUUUGGUGUCCCUCCACUCCCAACAUCUGGAGGAGUGUUUUGCUGGGGAGAGCAGGGCUGCAGUUCUGGGAGGGGAGGAAAGGCCAGAGUCUUAGACUCCUGGCUCACAGUCAUGGCUGCUGGGAAAUGCUGACUGGCCUGCUCUUAUCUUCAUGGUGGCCGCAAAACUAAGGGAGGUCAAGGUUUUUGCAAUAGCUAGGAGGAGUUUUUAAAGAGUUCUUAUCAUCCUUGAGAAGUUGGCAGCUGGAAAGUGUUUGCCUGGGAGUUUCUGUAGAGUGUUUAGGGGUUGGAAGCCUAUCAAUUGCUGUGACAGUCUGAGAGAGGGGCUCAUUAUGGAGAGGGUCAAACAGCUGGGUGUUCCCCCGAACACCCAACUCAGGGACAUGGAGGACGGACACAUGGGAUGGAACUAGCCUUUCUCUCUCAUGUGGGUGAACAGCAGAGCUGCAACAGCUGGAGAGACUCGGAGCAGGGGUUUUAAAGAGCAAAACAAACCAAGAGCGAGCGAGGAAAGGCGUUGCUCGGUGGCCGGGUGCCUCGCUCGCUCUGCAGACUUUGAAGUUACCGUGUUUCCUCUGGCCUUUGACCUGAUGUCCUGUCAAACCCUCCUGAGAACUUACGUCUAUGAACUGCCAUUUACCUGUCUGUCAUAAUCCUGCAGGACCAGUUGGGUUGGUUAAGAAUACCAAACACCUAAAGCAACACUGGCGGAAGAUGACCCCGUAAUGAAAUAAAUAUUAGAUAUGUAAAUAACGCAUAGCAGAACUUUCCAAUCGGCACGCCCGGAAUGGUCUUGAAUAGGGUUCUGUUUGCUCAAAUCACAUUAGAUUUUUACGAUAAGACUGUUGUUUUAGUCCACGGGACGUCCAGCAUGCGAGUCAUUCUGUACGGCCCUAAAGCUUUCCGCAAAGUCCCGAUUAGUAUGAUGUACAUGUUUGGAUAUUUCUAACCACUGCAAUUUUGAAACAUAAUGCGGCUUUCAGAAGUAAAUAAGAAACAUGAGUUACUAUGAAGACCAGUGGUGAAGUCAUCAUCCCCAGAAGAACCCCCCGACCACGCCCUUCUGGGUGUGACCGCUCCUCACCCACGCUAACAUCCAGCACCGCUUGCUUUCCUUCUGAACUUCACAGUUAGUCAGACACUUCAUCCUCUUCCCUGCCUUGCUUCCUUCACUCUUGCCUUGUUGGCUCAGCAGCUCUUUGCUCCUGGAUCCUCCAGUGCUGAGGGAAGAUAAAGCUGCCAAGAUUUGUACAGAGGGUGGCAGUUUCAGCCUUGGGCACUGCUCCCACACCUCUGUAGCUGUGUCUGCAGUCCUGAAGGAGACAUGAAGUGUGUACUACACACCAGCAGGAGAGGCUCCAGUUCAUGCCAGCAGCAUAGGCUCUUGGCUUCCGUUGACCACCCCCGCCCCCACCACCACCACCAUGCAAAGUGCUCCCAUGCCUCCUCCCUAAUCUCCCUUCCUUUGGCUCUAUGUCCCAUUAAACACAAACAAAAUGUC